rnacentral:misc_RNA from 1 species
GCAAACUUGGUCAUUUAGAGGAAGUAAAAGUCGUAACAAGGUAACCGUAGGUGAACCUGCGGUUGGAUCAUUAUUGAAACAACAUUUGUUUUGACCCAGUGAACUGUUUUUGACAGUGGCAAGAAAAGGGUUUGAGUAUUUAGGAUUUAUUUUGGUUAUUUAGCAUUUAUUUUGGUUAUUUACCAUUUUAUUUUGGUUAUUUACCAUUUUAUUUUGCUUUUGCUCCGGCCACUUGCCAUUUUAUUUUGACUUGAAUACUUUGUCUAAAGAAAAAAUAAAUUUAUACAACUUUUGACAACGGAUCUCUUGGUUCUCGCAUCGAUGAAGAACGCAGC